rnacentral:tRNA from 1 species
CGUGCGCCACCGGGCACGGGGUCGGGCGGUGUUUCCGGGGCACCGGCGAUCUCGGCGCGUUCGGCGCGCAGGGCGCGG